rnacentral:rRNA from 1 species
AACGAACGCUGGCGGCGUGGAUUAGGCAUGCAAGUCGUGCGCGAAAGAGUAGCAAUACUCGAGUAGAGCGGCGAACUGGUGAGUAACAGGUGGGUAACAUGCCCUGAAGUGGGGAAUAACCAAGGGAAACUUUGGCUAAUACCGCAUGUGGUUGCGAGGACCCUGGUCCUUUCAACUAAAGGAGUGAUUCGCUUCAGGAUUGGCCCGCCCCCGAUUAGCUUGUUGGUGAGGUAACGGCUUACCAAGGCUGCGAUCGGUAGCUGGUCUGAGAGGAUGGUCAGCCACACUGGGACUGAGAUACGGCCCAAACUCCUACGGGAGGCAGCAGUGGGGAAUAUUGCACAAUGGGCGAAAGCCUGAUGCAGCAACGCCGCGUGAGUGAUGAAGGCCUUCGGGUCGUAAAGCUCUGUCCUCAAGGAAGAUAAUGACGGUACUUGAGGAGGAAGCCCCGGCUAACUACGUGCCAGCCGCCGCGGUAAGAC